rnacentral:misc_RNA from 1 species
CACACGACAUCGAGUUCUGAGGUUUGGUUGGGCGACUGAUCAUUCUUGGAGCGUUUCGGAAAUAAAAGUCCUUUGGUUAUGGAUCACUGAAGGCACGUCCUGUCAGAUUUCUGUUCUGGUUUUUGCCAGACGGGAGCGCGUCAACAUAUCCCUUUCUGCGAUAAGUGUUUCUGCUUGUUCUGGUGUUAUGCCGGGAUUUGAGCGGGGACAGGGUUUGGGCUAGUAGCUCAGUUGGUUAUAGACUUUCAUGAUAUAAGAAAGAAGUAAAAAAUUUCUUAUUCUAUAUUAUAUGGAAAAUUUAAAUAAAACAAACUCUAUUUUUUGUGGGAAAGAAAGGAACACACCACCCCCCUGUGGGGAAGGGGGCUCUUCGUGUUUUUUACCCCAAAAAAAAAAAACUAUCGGGGGGGGGGGGGGGCGGGAGAUUUACCCCCCCCCCCUUAUGGGGGUGUCAAAACUAAAAUAUAAACAACCUGCCCGCCAAUCCGGUAACCAAAAAAGAAAACAUUUAUUAAAAAGGAUUUUUGACGCGCCCCCUGGCAAAAAAAAGAAAUUGAAGGGGGGCCUUUGGGGAUCCUAAACAAAAGAUUUUUUUUUCCAAACGCUCCAAAAAGAAAAGCCCCCCCCACCAACCCCCAAAAAAUUCCUUUAAAGGGGGGGGACCCCCCCCCAGGUAA